rnacentral:rRNA from 1 species
GACGAAGGAUCCAAGCGUUGUCCGGAUUUACUGGGUUAAAGGGUGCGUAGGCGGAAAAUUAAGUCAGUGGUGAAAGCCCGCAGCUCAACUGUGGAACUGCCAUUGAAACUGAUUUUCUUGAAUAUAGCUGAGGCAGAUGGAAUAUAACAUGUGAGCGGUGAAAUGCUUAGAUAUGUUAUAGAACACCGAUGCGAAGGCAGUCUGCUAAACUAGUUAUUGACGCUGAGGCACGAAAGCGUGGGGAGCGAACAGG